rnacentral:rRNA from 1 species
GAUGAACGCUGGCGGCGUGCCUAAUACAUGCAAGUCGAGCGAACGGACGAGAAGCUUGCUUCUCUGAUGUUAGCGGCGGACGGGUGAGUAACACGUGGAUAACCUACCUAUAAGACUGGGAUAACUUCGGGAAACCGGAGCUAAUACCGGAUAAUAUUUUGAACCGCAUGGUUCAAAAGUGAAAGACGGUCUUGCUGUCACUUAUAGAUGGAUCCGCGCUGCAUUAGCUAGUUGGUAAGGUAACGGCUUACCAAGGCAACGAUGCAUAGCCGACCUGAGAGGGUGAUCGGCCACACUGGAACUGAGACACGGUCCAGACUCCUACGGGAGGCAGCAGUAGGGAAUCUUCCGCAAUGGGCGAAAGCCUGACGGAGCAACGCCGCGUGAGUGAUGAAGGUCUUCGGAUCGUAAAACUCUGUUAUUAGGGAAGAACAUAUGUGUAAGUAACUGUGCACAUCUUGACGGUACCUAAUCAGAAAGCCACGGCUAACUACGUGCCAGCAGCCGCGGUAAUACGUAGGUGGCAAGCGUUAUCCGGAAUUAUUGGGCGUAAAGCGCGCGUACGCGGUUUUUUAAGUCUGAUGUGAAAGCCCACGGCUCAACCGUGGAGGGUCAUUGGAAACGUGGAAAACUUGAGUGCAGAAGAGGAAAGUGGAAUUCCAUGUGUAGCGGUGAAAUGCGCAGAGAUAUGGAGGAACACCAGUGGCGAAGGCGACUUUCUGGUCUGUAACUGACGCUGAUGUGCGAAAGCGUGGGGAUCAAACAGGAUUAGAUACCCUGGUAGUCCACGCCGUAAACGAUGAGUGCUAAGUGUUAGGGGGUUUCCGCCCCUUAGUGCUGCAGCUAACGCAUUAAGCACUCCGCCUGGGGAGUACGACCGCAAGGUUGAAACUCAAAGGAAUUGACGGGGACCCGCACAAGCGGUGGAGCAUGUGGUUUAAUUCGAAGCAACGCGAAGAACCUUACCAAAUCUUGACAUCCUUUGACAACUCUAGAGAUAGAGCCUUCCCCUUCGGGGGACAAAGUGACAGGUGGUGCAUGGUUGUCGUCAGCUCGUGUCGUGAGAUGUUGGGUUAAGUCCCGCAACGAGCGCAACCCUUAAGCUUAGUUGCCAUCAUUAAGUUGGGCACUCUAAGUUGACUGCCGGUGACAAACCGGAGGAAGGUGGGGAUGACGUCAAAUCAUCAUGCCCCUUAUGAUUUGGGCUACACACGUGCUACAAUGGACAAUACAAAGGGCAGCGAAACCGCGAGGUCAAGCAAAUCCCAUAAAGUUGUUCUCAGUUCGGAUUGUAGUCUGCAACUCGACUACAUGAAGCUGGAAUCGCUAGUAAUCGUAGAUCAGCAUGCUACGGUGAAUACGUUCCCGGGUCU